CCAAAGCCAAAUAAUUGUGGAAACCAAGUGAACCCCAAUGCGGUUGCUGAAGAAAAUAUUUUAAAUGCGGUAGAAGCAGAUCCUUCAAUAAGUGUCCGGAAAUUAAGCGCCCGGUUUCAUUGUCCACGCAAGGUCCACAGUUUUUAGGAUCGUCAAGGAACAGAAAUUGCAUCCUUUUCACCUACAAAAGGUUCAUGCACUUCUUUAUGCAGAUCUUUCACGUAGGAUGGAAUUUUCAAACUGGCUUUGACGUAUGCACAGAAAUAAUGCAAACUUUGUCGGUUCAGUCAUGUUUACCGACGAAGCUGGAUUUUUUAAGCAUGGAUGUGACUCACCAUCAACACCAGUUUCAACCUAUUAUUAAUGUAUGGGCUGGAAUCAUCGGACAACAUUUAAUAGGACCAUACAAGGGCGGAUCCAGGGGGGGUCAUGGGGGUCAUGACCCCCCUUGUACUGGGUUUUUAAAGACUAACGAGAAAUUUUCUAAUUUCAUGGACAACAAAAGAUUGAAUUUCCACUAGUUGACCCCCCCCCCUGACUCAAAAGCUGGAUCCGCCCCUGGGGUCAUACGUAUUGCCUUACUUAGUUAAUCUAUGGUAUUGCCUUACACGUUGACCGGAGCACUUUAUUUGGAAUUUCUCCAAAACCAUUUGCCAGAACUUUUAGAAGACUUACCUUUCGCAAAACGACAGGCGAUGUGGUUCAUGCAUGAUGAGGCACCACCCCAUUUCAGCCAGGCAGUUCGAAAACACUUAUACGUAAAUCAGAAAACGUUGUAUAGAAGAGGAGGGCCCGUCGCUUGACCUACUCGAUCGCCAGAUUGUAACCCUUCUGAUUUUUUUCAGGAUAUUUCAAAACUUUAGUGUAUGCCAUUGCUUUUGACACUAGGGAAAACUGAUUAGAAAGCAUUAAUUUUCAUUACGGUCAAAUAAGAACCAAUGUUCAAGCAUUGUGGAGAUCGCAACAAUCUACAAUUCUUCGAGCUGGGGAGUGCAAACGAUGGGAAGGAGCUCAUGUUGAACCUACAUACAAAAUUGUUCAGUAAAUCAGUAUUCAAUAAAAAUAUUUUUUCCUA